UUAAAGUCCUGCUCCAGUCAAUACCACGAGCCUGUCCUCCCCAGUUAAAGUCCUGCUCCAGUCAAUACCACGAGCCUGUCCUCCCCAGUUAAAGUCCUGCUCCAGUCAAUACCACGAGCCUGUCCUCCCCAGUUAAAUCCUGCUCCAGUCAAUACCACGAGCCUGUCCUCCCCAGUUAAAGUCCUGCUCCAGUCAAUACCACGAGCCUGUCCUCCCCAGUUAAAGUCCUGCUCCAGUCAAUACCACGAGCCUGUCCUCCCCAGUUAAAGUCCUGCUCCAGUCAAUACCACGAGCCUGUCCUCCCCAGUUAAAGUCCUGCUCCAGUCAUUACCACAAGCAUGUCCUCCCAAAUUAAAGUGCCACAAUACAACCUCCUGUGAAAUCCAUCCCC